UAAUUAAUUCUGUUGUUUAAUUCAGACUAGUAAUGAAUUAAGGAUAUGAAAUACUUAUUAGAUGGAGGCCCAUGGGUCACAUGGUCACCUGAGCAUAUUAUGCUCAAUUUGAUAAAACAUGUAAUAUGUAAAUUAUUGAAUUAUAUUGACUUUUUCCUUGGUAAAGCCCAAUAUGAAGAAGUGUGCAUUUAGAGGCAAACACCUUAGUGCGGGUAUUACUGUCUCAUGACAGCAUCUAGUUAGUUGCUUUUUUUUCAGAAAAUUCCUUAUCACAUGGAGUUGGGCUUAUUUAUCUCCAGAUGCUUUUCUUGUAUCUCCUUCCAUCAUUGGUUUGGUGGAUUCACCAAUCUAAAGGAAAGUAAAAAAAAGUGUCUGAUGUGGACCCCAUACCACAGAGCUUGCCUCUAUCCAUGAGGAUGUGGACCCUACACCACCUGAGCCUGGAUUGAAUCUAACUAGCACCUUUGAUGUGUCUAAGAGGGCAAGAGGAUGACGAUGAAGAAAUAGCUGAAUGCUCCAUACAGGAUCUGGUCCUUCCAGACACAAUUCUACAGAUGUUCCUAUAACCUAUACCCUGGUUUCGAAGAAGUAAAUUCAAGUUGGUCAGCAGCGAUGGUUAUAGGACUACACCAAGAAGAGCAGCAAAGGUGACUUCACCUACUGGUGAUGCUCCAAGCGUUCCGAAACCAUAAACUGUCCUGCAACAGUAUCACAUAAAGGAAACACCUUCAGACUAAACUCGAGGGAGCAUAUCCACCCAGCUGACAAAGGAGCCUUGAAGAAAACUGUUUGCAGGAACUUAAAAAAAUAUAUUCUAAAUAAUGUUACAAUGGUCUUUUCAAUACCCAAAUCUGAAUGUCAUUUACAAUUAUGAAUCUUAGAUUAACUGAAUAUCUUCUAUCUCAAUUUAGGUGAAAGCAACAGCUUGUCAAGACAUUCAUAAGCCUGCCAGGAUGUAUUGUGGAGGAUGUCAUGCUAGAAAACAUCACGCCAGAGGACCACGACCUCCCUAAGAUCUGCAACCUUAGGAGAAUAGCUAACCAAGUCCGAGCAGAUAUGCACCCAGAGGAG